GGACCGUUAGCUCAGUUGGUAGAGCAGCUGACCCUUAAUCAGCGGGCCAAAGGUUCGAGUCCUUUACGGUCCACCA
rnacentral:tRNA from 2 species